rnacentral:rRNA from 1 species
UACGUAGGGUGCAAGCGUUGUCCGGAAUUAUUGGGCGUAAAGAGCUCGUAGGCGGUCUGUCACGUCGGCUGUGAAAACCCGAGGCUCAACCUCGGGCCUGCAGUCGAUACGGGCAAACUAGAGUACUGCAGGGGAGACUGGAAUUCCUGGUGUAGCGGUGAAAUGCGCAGAUAUCAGGAGGAACACCGGUGGCGAAGGCGGGUCUCUGGGCAGUAACUGACGCUGAGGAGCGUAAGCGUGGGGAGCGAACAGG